rnacentral:rRNA from 1 species
AUGAAGGGUACGGUGGCUACGAGACUCGCGGUCAGGAAGACAGAGGCGGAGGCUCAGGCCGCGGCGCCCGCACCCAAGAGGCUCGCGUCCGCCGGAACCGCCGGCCGCAGGCCACGGAAGCGGAUCCGCGAGGAUAAGCUUGUCAGCGACGGGGAUCUCAUCAGCAAACUCUCCGAUGACAUCCUCGGCACCAUCAUCUCCCUCCUCCCCACCAAAGACGGCACCCGCACGCAGGCCAUCGCUCGCAGAUGGCGCCCUCUCUGGCGCUCAGCGCCUCUCAACCUCCACGCCUCCUACCACCUCUGCUCCAAACAGUUCAAGCACCUCUCCGUCGUCUCCAGGAUCCUCUCCGACCAGUCUGGACCCGCCCGCCGUUUCGUCUUCCGCCUCGUCCGCCUCCACAAGGCGAAAAAAAGGCACGCCGAGGAAGCCGCUCAGAUCGAGAACUGGUUCCACUCCCGAGCCCUCAGAAACCUUAAGGAGCUCGAUAUCAGCUUCGACCUCUUGGACUAUGUACACGAGAAGCUUUAUCCGCUGCCCCUCCGCUUAGCACCAACUCUCCUCGUGGCCAUAAUCGGCUUCUGCGAAUUCCCCAAGGAGAUCACUCAUUCGCUUAGUUUUCCGUUGCUCAAGCAGCUCAUCCUGCGGCGUGUUUCCAUCUGCCAGGAUGUCUUCCAUGGGGUGCUCUCUGCCUGCGGUCUGUUGGAGUCACUCGAAUUGAAGGAAAUUCGUGAUACGAAUUGCUUGCGCAUUAGCUCGGCAACUCUUAGGAGUGUGAGCCUCUGCGCUUGUUUUGCAGCCAAAGGAGAAUUGUUCAUUGAAGCGCCCCUCUCCUUGCUGCUACUACCUUGUCCGCGCGAAGGGCGUGAGACUAUUCGGAUAAUCAAGGCACCUAAACUGGAGAUACUGGGCCUUUUGUCUCCCCGCAUCUCCGAAACUGAGAUUGCUAAUGUAGUCUUCCAGAGUUUAACCCCAACAAGCUUGAAUAAUACGAUAGCCACAGUGAAGGUUCUGGCUCUCGAGUUUCCGGUCCCUGAUUUGAAUGCUGUUAUUCACGUCUUAAGAUGCUUCCCGUGCUUGGAAAAGCUUCAUGUCAUUUGGGAGAAAUACUUGAAGAUAGGUACGAAAAAUGCACGUCAGUAUGACCCACUAGAUCCAGUCAAAGGCCUUGAUACCCAUCUAAAAAAACUGGUAUUGAAAAAUUAUGAGGGCAGUGAGCAAGAUGUUGGCUUUGCCAAGUUCUUUAUUUUGAACGCAAAAGUGCUGAAGAAACUCAAAUUUGGAGUCAGUCAUAGGAUCAACAAACAAUGGGAUGUAGAUGCAGUCUUCCAUGCAGAUGCUCUCCAGGGUGCUGUAGGAGCUGCUUUACGGGAUUACAAAGGUGGUUUCAUCGCGGCUUCAAACGAAAGGCUAGAGCAUGUUGUUGAUGCAGGGACGGCAGAAGCAUAUGCACUACGACAUGGCAUCCUGUUGGCGCAGCAGAUGGGAAUUAGCAAGCUCAUUGUGGAGUUAGACUGCCUUGAGGUGAUUAAUACCAUGAACAGAGGCUUUACGGCAUCGUGCGCAGCGGCGAUCUAUUCGGAUUCUUUGGUACUUACUAUAGGCUAUACUUCAGUGUCUUUUGUUCACUGCCCUAGGGAGACAAACUCUGUCGCUCAUGUUUUAGCUAGGCAAGUGGUGUCGGCUCUACCUUGGGUGUGGAUUGAUGAGCCGCCGGCUUUCAUUGUAAAGGGCUUAUAA